AAUAAUCUGGGAUUUGAGAUCUGGAAACACUCUGCAUAAAUUGAUUCUUACAUUUCCCACUCUUCGCCAGCAAAUCUAUGGGAAACCUACUCUGCAUAUUUCUCCGAAAAACGGAAACUACUUUUUUGUGACUUGUUGCGAUUUUACAUUCAAAUUGUUUUUCAACGAUAUUCAGGAUGAAAGAAAAGAAAAGAAGCUCAUCUCUUUGAAGAAAGGAAAUGGGAAAAUGGGAAUUAUGUGUAAUGCAAAUUUCACUUGCGUUGAUAAAAAGACUGUCAUAACCUCUUAAGCCUAUUACAAACAAUGCCUUCGAACUAUACAAGAAUGUUUUCUUGUAUUUUUUGUUUUCUUUGCAAAAAAAUAAACAUAAUAAAUUAAAAUUGAUCAUUUGUG